AUGAAAAAUAUUCAACAAAAGACAGAAACAAAUCCACUAAUGGUUUUACGUCAAGCAAUACAUAGAGUAACUCCCAAUAUAGAAGUAAAAACAAGAUGUAAUAAAAAAGGAUCGACGCGGAAAGUUCCGACUGAAAUAGGAUCCUAA
rnacentral:rRNA from 1 species